AUUUCUUUUCAAGCAUUAUAUAUUUUGACCAUUUUUUCUCUCUGUCAAUUCCUCCCAGAUCCUCUCGACAUCCCUACUCACUCACCUUUAUGUUCUUUCGUUCUCUUUAAAUGGACAUGUAAAUAAACCAAGAAACACACACACACAUACUCACAAAUGGAAGUAAAAAUAAACAAGCAAAACACCAAUAAGACAAUGUUGCCCAAACAAAUCAAAAUGAGACCAAAAAGUGUCCAAAAUACCAUUGAGUUAGUUUUGUGUUGUCUAACUGCUUUUGGGAAUGGGACCUGCCUAAAGAGGCCUUAAUAUAAUCACCUGAGUUUACUUCUUUGUUUCUCAUUUUCUAUAGUUUCAAUCCAGAAUUUUUCAUGCUUCUCUACAGGAUCUAUCCAAUUAGUAACCACAUAUUGUCAAGUGCUUUGGCCAUUUCCAGUCCCUACUUUGAGUUAACUGUAGUAUGUGACUGUUGGUCUUUCAUCCUUGAAACAUUGCCUCCUUUUCUACAACUGUGUUGUUGUUGUUGUUGUUGUUGUUGUUGUUGUUUCCUGUUUUCUAUUACUUUAACAGUUCAUCCUUUUAACUCUGCUUCAAUGGUCCUUCAUCAUCUUGACAGCAUCUGUACAGGGUGCUUCAAAUUUCAUCGUGUCUUUUUUUCUCUCUGUUAUUCUUCUAUUAACUUUUAUGAGUAUUAACUUCUAUUAACAUGUCUUUAAGAAUAAUGUGCUGUCUCUAGCCAGGACUCAGCUGUACAUAGUCUACAGAACCCUCAAAAUUCAUCUCUGCCCUUUUUCCGUAUGGCAUGAAUGAAGAUGUAUUAUCAUUUGGUUGCUGAUCAAGUUAACUCAUCAAAAAGACAGUUGUCUUUUACCUGCUCAACAAGAAGCAAAAAUUCAUCCUUAACUGAUCUGUGCACCUUGCACAUUCCAUACAAAUAUCUUUAUAGAACUAAAUAUUGGUUGUAAGGUUUAUAUAUUACAGACUAAAACAACAAGAGGGCAGCCCUGAAAAGACUCCCCUUCAGGAAUGCUGAGGUGACCUGCUGUUCCAGCUUCCUGCUUGAUUCUACCUCAGCUGAGGCUGUUUCCAGAGACUUGCUUCAGAAAGGGCUGCUAAUCCCUGAUGACAUCAGUUCAUCUGGCCUUUCAAAUAGUUCCAUUCGGGACUUCAGUAAAGCCCUGGACUUUAUAAACACAUGAAAAGUGGACAGCAAAUAAAGACAACAGGAUCAAUCGCUCUACCAACCUGCCCUUGAACUGGCCAUGUAGAACAGGCCAGCUGUGAUCUCUGAGAGUUUUUCCACGACAGCCUACAUCAUCAUCAUUAUCAUGAAUCAGAUUAAAAACUGAAGUAUGAAGUUUC